AUUGAACGCUGGCGGCAGGCCUAACACAUGCAAGUCGAGCGGAUGAGUGGAGCUUGCUCCAUGAUUCAGCGGCGGACGGGUGAGUAAUGCCUAGGAAUCUGCCUAGUAGUGGGGGACAACGUUUCGAAAGGAACGCUAAUACCGCAUACGUCCUACGGGAGAAAGUGGGGGAUCUUCGGACCUCACGCUAUCAGAUGAGCCUGGGUCGGAUUAGCUAGUUGGUGAGGUAAAGGCUCACCAAGGCGACGAUCCGUAACUGGUCUGAGAGGAUGAUCAGUCACACUGGAACUGAGACACGGUCCAGACUCCUACGGGAGGCAGCAGUGGGGAAUAUUGGACAAUGGGCGAAAGCCUGAUCCAGCCAUGCCGCGUGUGUGAAGAAGGUCUUCGGAUUGUAAAGCACUUUAAGUUGGGAGGAAGGGCAGUAAGUUAAUACCUUGCUGUUUUGACGUUACCAACAGAAUAAGCACCGGCUAACUUCGUGCCAGCCGCCGCCGUAAGAC
rnacentral:rRNA from 1 species